rnacentral:rRNA from 1 species
CAAGCGUUGUUCGGAAUUACUGGGCGUAAAGGGCGCGUAGGCGGCCUUCUAAGUCAGACGUGAAAUCCCCAGGCUCAACCUGGGAACUGCGUCUGAUACUGGAUGGCUUGAAUCCGGGAGAGGGAUGCAGAAUUCCAGGUGUAGCGGUGAAAUGCGUAGAUAUCUGGAGGAAUACCGGUGGCGAAGGCGGCGUCCUGGACCGGCAUUGACGCUGAGGAGCGAAAGCCAGGGGAGCAAACGGG